rnacentral:rRNA from 1 species
GAUGAACGCUGGCGGCGUGCCUCAAACAUGCAAGUCGAGCGGGGCUAUGUAAUAUCGCAAGGUAGAACAUAGCCUAGCGGCGAACGGGUGAGUAACACGUGGGUAACCUGCCUGGAAGACAGGGAUAACGAUUCGAAAGGGUCGCUAAUACCUGAUAAUAUCCUUUCAUCGCAUGGUGAUAGGAAGAAAGGGGAAACCCGCUUUCAGAUGGGCCCGCGUCCCAUCAGCUAGUUGGUAAGGUAAAGGCUUACCAAGGCGACGACGGGUAGCCGGUCUGAGAGGAUGUACGGCCACACUGGGACUGAGAUACGGCCCAGACUCCUACGGGAGGCAGCAGUUGGGAAUCUUAGGCAAUGGACGAAAGUCUGACCUAGCGACGCCGCGUGAGGGAAGAAGGCCUUCGGGUUGUAAACUCUGUCAUGGGGAAGAAGUAAGUGACGGUACCCAACGAGGAAGCCCCUGCUAACUACGUG